UUUUUAAUGAACAGCCUUGGAAACUUAUUUCUCUUGCCUGAAUAACAACUCAAGUGCAACAACAUUUUUCUUAUGGAACUUUGAAGAGCUGCCAACCUGAAUUUUGGCCAGGAUGGAAAAUUGCUGUGGCUAAAGCCCUCUCUUGCAGCCCUAUAAAUAGAGGUUCAGAGUGAGACUUUUAGAGUUGUCCUGGACCACAGAAGGCUGUGACCAGCAUUUCCAUCUGAGUGGACACCUCUCAAAGCCAGUGAAUUCUCAAGUUUUCUGUACUUGGAGGAUCAGUGAACAAUGAUGGAUCCUGGGCUGAUCUCAAAGCUCAACUCUUCACCCACUGAGAAGAUGUAGAAGCAUCAAAUGUCAUGUCAGCAUUGGUUCAGCUGAUACAAGAAUGAUGGAAAAAAGAAGAAUGUGUGUAAGGCUCAUAUAAUGCCGACACAGUGUCUCACCUGCUUUGAUAAUGCAAUAAAAAUCAGAGAUCAAGGAAACCUAAUAGAUGGUACAGUAGAUGUCUGCAGCUUUAUUGCCAGUAAAGUCCAUAUCAUACACCAAAGAGCACUGAAUUUGGAGGAACAGAUGGAAAGAAGGGGUGACCUUCUUCCUUAGGACAGGAGCCACAUCCUAGGACUGUCUGGCCAUUUUCCACCUUACAAAUCUCCAGCUAUUGAAAAUGAAGCUCCUAAACUCUCACUGGAAAACAUCUCCCCAGCCUCCUUCAAGCCAAGAUAUGCAUCCUUACCAAACCAAGCGUGGCUACCUUUAAAGUCACCCUAUUCUGUGGCUUUUUUGAAGUCAAAGAGGAAAGCAGCACUAUUUCCAUAGGAGAUGUAUUUGGGAGUCAGUGCGCCGGGAAUUUAUUCUUCCGUCAGCUUUAUUCCUUUCAGCCAUUAAAGCAUAAGUGGCU